UACGAAGGGUGCAAGCGUUACUCGGAAUUACUGGGCGUAAAGCGUGCGUAGGUGGUUUCUUAAGUCUGCUGUGAAAGCCCUGGGCUCAACCUGGGAAUGGCAGUGGAUACUGGGGAGCUAGAGUGCGGUAGAGGAGGGUGGAAUUCCCGGUGUAGCGGUGAAAUGCGUAGAGAUCGGGAGGAACAUCAGUGGCGAAGGCGGCCCUCUGGACCAGCACUGACACUGAGGCACGAAAGCGUGGGGAGCAAACAGG
rnacentral:rRNA from 1 species